rnacentral:rRNA from 1 species
CCUACGGGAGGCAGCAGUGAGGAAUAUUGGACAAUGGGCGCAAGCCUGAUCCAGCCAUGCCGCGUGCAGGAAGACGGUCCUAUGGAUUGUAAACUGCUUUUGUACAGGAAGAAACACUCCCUCGUGAGGGAGCUUGACGGUACUGUAAGAAUAAGGAUCGGCUAACUCCGUGCCAGCAGCCGCGGUAAUACGGAGGAUCCAAGCGUUAUCCGGAAUCAUUGGGUUUAAAGGGUCCGUAGGCGGUUUAAUAAGUCAGUGGUGAAAUCUGGUCGCUCAACGAUCAAACGGCCAUUGAUACUGUUAGACUUGAAUUAUUAGGAAGUAACUAGAAUAUGUAGUGUAGCGGUGAAAUGCUUAGAUAUUACAUGGAAUACCAAUUGCGAAGGCAGGUUACUACUAAUGGAUUGACGCUGAUGGACGAAAGCGUUGGGGAGCGAACAGGAUUAGAUACCCUGGUAGUCCACGCCGUAAACGAUGGAUACUAGCUGUUCGGUAGACAUACUGUAGUGGUGUAGACGAAGUAGUAGUAAGUAGUACCUACCGU